rnacentral:rRNA from 1 species
GAAAGAUUCAUCGGAAGAGGAUGGGCAUGCGGCGCAUUAGCUUGACGGCGGGGUAACGGCCCACCGUGGCGACGAUGCGUAGGGGUUCUGAGAGGAAGGUCCCCCACACUGGUACUGAGACACGGACCAGACUCCUACGGGAGGCAGCAGUGAGGAAUAUUGGUCAAUGGGAGAGAUCCUGAACCAGCCAAGCCGCGUGAGGGAAGACGGCCCUAUGGGUUGUAAACCUCUUUUGUCGGAGAACAAAACCCGGGACGAGUCCCGGACUGCGUGUAUCCGAAGAAAAAGCAUCGGCUAACUCCGUGCCAGCAGCCGCGGUAAUACGGAGGAUGCGAGCGUUAUCCGGAUUUAUUGGGUUUAAAGGGUGCGUAGGCGGUCCGUUAAGUCAGCGGUAAAAUUGCGGGGCUCAACCCCGUCGAGCCGUUGAAACUGGCAGACUUGAGUUGGCGAGAAGUACGCGGAAUGCGCGGUGUAGCGGUGAAAUGCAUAGAUAUCGCGCAGAACUCCGAUUGCGAAGGCAGCGUACCGGCGCCACACUGACGCUGAGGCACGAAAGCGUGGGGAUCGAACAGGAUUAGAUACCCUGGUAGUCCACGCAGUAAACGAUGAAUGCUGGUUGUCCGGGUCGAAUGAGAUCUGG